AUCCAGCUAGCUCAGUCGGUAGAGCAUGAGACUCUUAAUCUCACGGUCGUUGGAUCGAGCCCCAUGAUGGGUGCCA